rnacentral:rRNA from 1 species
GAUGAACGCUGGCGGCGUGCCUAAUACAUGCAAGUCGAGCGAACAGACGAGGAGCUUGCUCCUCUGACGUUAGGGGCGGACGGGUGAGUAACACGUGGAUAGCCUCCCUAUACGACUGGGAUAACUACGGGAAACCGGUGCUAAUACCGGAGAAUAUAUUGAACCGCAUGGUUCAAUAGUGAAAGACGGUUUUGCUGUCACUUAUAGAUGGAUCCGCGCCGCAUUAGCUAGUUGGUAAGGUAACGGCUUACCAAGGCGGCGAUGGGUAGCCGACCUGAGAGGGUGGUCGGCGACACUGCAGCGGAGACACGCUCCAGACUCCUACGGGAGGCAGCAGUAGGGAGUCUUCCGCAAUGGGCGGAGGCCUGACGGAGCAACGCCGCGUGGGUGAUGAAGGUCUUCUGAUCGUAAAACUCUGUUAUUAGGGAAGAACAAAGGUUUAAGUAACUAUGCACGUCUUGACGGUACCUAGUCAGAAAGCCACGGCUAACUACGUG